ensembl:lncRNA
GUGCUCACAUCCCUCAUCCCUGGCUGUCUGCGCUUCCCCUCUUUCAGAACCUGAUACCUCUGCCGAGUGAUGCAUGAGAUGCACAGUUGGGUGCUUGGGGCAACACUGUGACACUUGGAUUACCAAUUGGGAGCCCCACGUUCUUAUCCUAUUUCCAUUUUCUAUUUUGUGUGCCCUGGGAAAGACACCUCAUUUCCUAAUGAAGAACAGAGAGGAGUCACCAUCCUCCUCCUCAACAGCAGAAGAAAAGAGAGAGACAGCUACACAAACCUACUGAGGUUGAAGCCAGUCAACCAAGCAUAGUCUGUGAUGUUCCAUUUGUACUAAAUGAGGUCAUCUCUGAACCCCAUAAGUCAUCCAGAAAAGACCACGGGCUGCUAACUUGGACCAAUCAAAAUCUGUACCUGGAUUAGAUGGACUGUGUGUUUUCAGCCACUUUCUGCUAGCUUGGAGCAAAUGCAUGGACAUUCUCCUUUGGAGACAGGCUAUGGAUGGAGUCAAAGAACUUAAGAUGAAGGAAUAAACCUGCCAUGGGAACUGGGAGUUCUCAUGAGUGAGUCAGAGACCUAAUUUCCUUGGAUGGUUGCUGCUACUUUUUGCUACUGGCAGACCAUUUUCUUACGCUUUUGUACCUGACCACUCAGGGGUCUACCAGGAAGAUUACUAACUAACGCCGAUCAGGCGAUUCCCGAUUGACUGGUUUAAGAUUGCAUUUUUGAAGGAGUUGAAACUGCAUGAACUAAGCUACCAGAUUGAAGCUCCAUUAAACUAGAAAGGCUUGAAUCCAUGGACUGCUUUCAAAUCCAUCUCACGGGAUCCUAACAUUGGGCCAUCCUCAAGCAGAUGCUACCUGAUUUGUGCUCCGGCUAAUGUCACUCAUGUCAACAGCAUUGCCAAAUGCAAUGAGGUGUGACUGACACCAGGAAAGAUGAUGAGCAACGAGAAUGGCAGCUGGCUGCAUUUCCUUCUUGUAGAAUUUUAAUGAAUCAAGGAGCACCCUGAUAGAGUACAUCCGUACUUGCUAGAAGCAAAGCUGAAUGCUCUCAUCCCCAACUCUGAGAUCUGAGAAACCCAAAGAGGGCUCCACCCUCAUGAUAGGGCUAGAUGGGUCCUGAAUAGAGGAUGAGGACUGAGGAAUAUAAGAAACAGCCACAGGAGAAGACUACAGCCAUUGGGAAAACUGCGGAGAGGUGGGAAAGAAACCUGAGUUCUCUCUCACUCUGUCCUACUCAUUAGUUUUGUGACUUAGGCUAAUUAUUUGUCUUAUUGGGACUCUAUUUUUUAAUGUAAGCAAACACGGAGGCUAUCUUAAGUAAAGACAAUAAAAUAAGUUGUUUAUUUCAAGGAUGCACAGGCAUUUCACGGAAGUCAAAGGGAGAAACACACAGUCUCGUGAGUACUGGGUAAAGGAGCUACAAUGCCACUGCGUGCCUAGGAGGAAAACGUUUUCCUCUUUCCUCAUUGCUUCCUUCUGUGAAUCUGCUUCUUUCUCACUUCAGUCAAUCAUUUUUUUGCUACCUAGUAUGCCUGGUGGAAUAACCCAAGUUUGAAUGGUAUAGGUCCAGCCACAAGGAACAACCGAUUCUCAAUUCUUAUUUCUGCGCCCGAUUCCCAGUCAAAGAUCUGAGCAGCCUAGCUAGUGCCAGGUGUCUUCCCCAGACCCCCAAAGGAUUAACAGAGUAUACAUCAAUUCUAGAUACCAUGCCUGGGGCCUAGUUCUAUGGCCCAAUAGAAGGCAGGUCCAUCCCUGUCACAAAGGGACUGUUUGUGAGCUGAGACAACACUUUCAAAGGUAUCCCAUUAGCUUACGUAACUUUACUCCCUCAAUAUUAAAAUCUGCCUUUUCUUUCCUCAUGAGGUUUUUAAGUCUUAAAUAAUACCAUGUCUGGGGGAAAAUGUGGAAUUCAAAUGACAUUCCAUCUGUCAGGUACUAGCUUUAACCUUAAAUCACCCCAUAAGUCAGGUGUAAAGCAGUCAUAUUUAAACCUAUAUCCUCUAGAUCCCCAAGUUGUAGCCUUCCUUUCACAGAUACCUGGAGGUCAAUGUCAUUGCCAGAAAAAAAGAAAAAGCUUUCCUAGUGUGAACAUUAUAGGUCUUAGAGUUCACUGACAAGCCAGAACAUUCUUCCUUUUCUAGGUUUGUAAUUAAUUCCCCUGUUUGCAUUAUGUAAAUAGUGCUUUGUAUAAUUUCAU